rnacentral:rRNA from 1 species
UACGGAGGAUGCAAGCGUUAUCCGGAAUGAUUGGGCGUAAAGCGUCCGCAGGUGGCCGUUCAAGUCUGCUGUCAAAGACCGGGGCUUAACUUCGGAAAGGCAGUGGAAACUGAACAGCUAGAGUAUGGUAGGGGCAGAGGGAAUUCCUGGUGUAGCGGUGAAAUGCGUAGAUAUCAGGAAGAACAUCGGUGGCGAAGGCGCUCUGCUGGACCAUAACUGACACUCAGGGACGAAAGCUAGGGGAGCGAAUGGG